rnacentral:rRNA from 1 species
AGAGUUUGAUCCUGGCUCAGGAUGAACGCUAGCGGCAGGCUUAACACAUGCAAGUCGAGGGGCAGCACGAGGUAGCAAUACUUUGGUGGCGACCGGCGCACGGGUGCGUAACGCGUAUGCAACCUACCUAUAACAGGGGGAUAAUCUGGGGAAACUCGGUCUAAUACCCCAUAGUAUUGGAGAAUCGCAUGGUUUUCCAAUUAAAGUUUUAAUGGUUAUAGAUGGGCAUGCGUGACAUUAGCUAGUUGGUAAGGUAACGGCUUACCAAGGCGACGAUGUCUAGGGGAACUGAGAGGUUAAUCCCCCACACUGGUACUGAGACACGGACCAGACUCCUACGGGAGGCAGCAGUGAGGAAUAUUGGUCAAUGGGCGCAAGCCUGAACCAGCCAUGCCGCGUGCAGGAAGACGGUCCUAUGGAUUGUAAACUGCUUUUAUACGGGAGCAAUAAGUCUUUUGCGAAGGACGAUGAGAGUACCGUACGAAUAAGGAUCGGCUAACUCCGUGCCAGCAGCCGCGGUAAUACGGAGGAUCCAAGCGUUAUCCGGAUUCAUUGGGUUUAAAGGGUGCGUAGGCGGACUGAAAAGUCAGUGGUGAAAAGUUUAGGCUCAACCUAGACCCUGCCAUUGAUACUAUCAGACUAGAGUACAAACGGAGUGUGCGGAAUAUGUCAUGUAGCGGUGAAAUGCAUAGAUAUGACAUAGAACACCGAUCGCGAAGGCAGCUCACUAGGAUGUUACUGACGCUGAGGCACGAAAGCGUGGGGAUCAAACAGGAUUAGAUACCCUGGUAGUCCACGCUGUAAACGAUGAUAACUCGUUGUCGGCGAUACACAGUCGGUGACUAAGCGAAAGCGAUAAGUUAUCCACCUGGGGAGUACGAUCGCAAGGUUGAAACUCAAAGGAAUUGACGGGGGCCCGCACAAGCGGAGGAGUAUGUGGUUUAAUUCGAUGAUACGCGAGGAACCUUACCUAGACUUGAACGUAAUAGGAAUAUUUAAGAAAUUAGAUAGCCAGCAAUGGCCUUUUACGAGGUGCUGCAUGGUUGUCGUCAGCUCGUGCCGUGAGGUGUCAGGUUAAGUCCUAUAACGAGCGCAACCCUUGCACAUAGUUGCCAGCAUGUAAAGAUGGGGACUCUAUGUGGACUGCCGGCGCAAGCCGCGAGGAAGGUGGGGAUGACGUCAAAUCAGCACGGCCCUUACGUCUAGGGCGACACACGUGCUAAUGGCCGGUACAGAGGGCAGCUACACAGCGAUGUGAUGCGAAUCUCAAAAGCCGGUCUCAGUUCGGAUCGGAGUCUGCAACUCGACUCCGUGAAGUCGGAUUCGCUAGUAAUCGCGCAUCAGCCAUGGCGCGGUGAAUACGUUCCCGGGCCUUGUACACACCGCCCGUCAAGCCAUGAAAGUUUGGGGUACCUGAAGUACGUAACCGCAAGGAGCGUCCUAGGGUAAAACAAGUAAUUGGGGCUAAGUCGUAACAAGGUAACC